UACCAGCACCCCGAGUGGUCGGGACGAUUAUUGGGCCUAAAGCAUCCGUAGCCGGUUUUACAAGUCCUCCGUUAAAUCCAGCUGCUUAACAGAUGGGCUGCGGAGGAUACUAUAAGACUAGGAGGCAGGAGAGGCAAGCGGUACUCAGUGGGUAGGGGUAAAAUCCACUGAUCCAUUGAAGACCACCAGUGGCGAAGGCGGCUUGCCAGAACGCACUCGACGGUGAGGGAUGAAAGCUGGGGGAGCAAACCGG
rnacentral:rRNA from 1 species